CCUACGGGUGGCAGCAGUGAGGAAUAUUGGUCAAUGGGCGAGAGCCUGAACCAGCCAAGUCGCGUGAGGGACGACGGCCCUACGGGUUGUAAACCUCUUUUGCCGGGGGACAAACGGCGGCACGCGUGCCGUCCUGAGGGUACCCGGUGAAAAAGGAUCGGCUAACUCCGUGCCAGCAGCCGCGGUAAUACGGAGGAUGCGAGCGUUAUCCGGAUUUAUUGGGUUUAAAGGGUGCGUAGGCGGGAGGCAAAGUCAGCGGUCAAAUACGUGGGCUCAACCUGCGUCCGCAGUUGAAACUGGCGUUCUUGAGUGGACGAGAGGUACGCGGAAUGCGUGGUGGAGCGGUGAAAUGCAUAGAUAUCACGCAGAACCCCGAUUGCGAAGGCAGCGUACCGGC
rnacentral:rRNA from 1 species